rnacentral:rRNA from 1 species
CACGGGUGAGUAACACGUAGGUAACCUGCCCUCGAGCUCGGAAUAACCUACGAAAGUGGGCUAAUACCGGAUAUGACCACGGGAGUUUUCGGCUCCUGUGGUGAAAGGUGGCCUCUGCUUUGCAAGCUACUACUCAAGGAUGGGCCUGCGUGCCAUUAGCUAGUUGGUGAGGUAACGGCUCACCAAGGCGAUGAUGGCUAGCUGGUCUGAGAGGAUGGCCAGCCACACUGGGACUGAAACACGGCCCAGACUCCUACGGGAGGCAGGCAGUGGGGGAUAUUGCGCAAUGGGCGAAAGCCUGACGCAGCGACGCCCGCGUUGGGUGAUGAAGGCCUUCGGGUCGUUAAAGCCCUGUCGAGGGGGACGAAUCGGUCGCGACCCAAUACGUCGCGACCCUGACGGUACCCCUAAAGGAAGCACCGGCUAACUCCGUGCCAGCCGCCGC